GACAAUGCUGGAAUGCACAAAAUUUGAGCAUUGCAAUUGUGAAAAUGAGCUCAAAUGAUUGAAUGUUCAUAAAUUUCGUGAUAAGCAACAAAAAAAUCAGGUUUUUAGCAUGCAAUUAACGUGGAACAGCAUUUUCAGCUGGCUUAACGCACAGCUGCUGCCAAUGGCUUCAACUUGGUUAAAUUGAACCUGAGACCCGCCCACUUCGAUGCCCACCACAGUGCUUAAUUGCACACAGCUAAAACAUGGGAGUUUUGUGGUCGUGGAGGCAACACUGUAAAUGAACAACAACAACAACAGCAACGAAAACAACAAGAGGAUAAACAACAACUUGAAGCGACAACUUUUUGUAUGAAUGCAAACGACAAAAUGCAACUCAGGGCAAAAGCAAACAAAACCAAAAAGGAUGCUCAGCCAAAAGCAGAAACAACAACAACAACAACAACAACAAGCGCACAAUCAAAGUUGGGAUGGUAAAAUAGUCGAAAUAGUCGACUAUGGCAUAAGCUGUAAAUUAAAAUGGACAUAAAAUGCGCUGUUUAUAAUGUUUUAAAAUUUCUAUACCAAAAAUUUGUUAUCGCCUAAAUAAAAUAAUACAGUAUACCCUCGUUUAACGCAA